rnacentral:rRNA from 1 species
AUGCCUAAUACAUGCAAGUCGAACGCCUGCAGCGAUGCAGGAGUGGCGCACGGGUGAGUAACGCGUGGGAACCUGCCUGGAGUGAGGGAUAACCCGGCGAAAGCCGGGCUAAUACCGCAUACGCCCUGGGGGGGAAAGAUUUAUCGCUCUAGGAGGGGCCCGCGUCGGAUUAGCUAGUUGGUGGGGUAACGGCCUACCAAGGCGAUGAUCCGUAGCUGGUCUGAGAGGAUGAUCAGCCACACUGGGACUGAGACACGGCCCAG